rnacentral:rRNA from 1 species
GAAUCAUCUGGAAAGAUGAAUCAAAGAAGGUAAUAAUCCUGUAGUCGAAAAUGUUGUCUCUCUUGAGUGGAUCCUGAGUACGACGGAGCACGUGAAAUUCCGUCGGAAUCUGGGAGGACCAUCUCCUAAGGCUAAAUACUCUCUAGUGACCGAUAGUGAACCAGUACCGUGAGGGAAAGGUGAAAAGCACCCCGGAAGGGGAGUGAAAUAGAACCUGAAACCGUGUGCUUACAAGUAGUCAGAGCCCGUUAAUGGGUGAUGGCGUGCCUUUUGUAGAAUGAACCGGCGAGUUACGAUUUGAUGCAAGGUUAAGCAGUAAAUGUGGAGCCGUAGCGAAAGCGAGUCUGAAUAGGGCGUUUAGUAUUUGGUCGUAGACCCGAAACCAGGUGAUCUACCCUUGGUCAGGUUGAAGUUCAGGUAACACUGAAUGGAGGACCGAACCGACUUACGUUGAAAAGUGAGCGGAUGAACUGAGGGUAGCGGAGAAAUUCCAAUCGAACCUGGAGAUAGCUGGUUCUCUCCGAAAUAGCUUUAGGGCUAGCCUCAAGUGAUGAUUAUUGGAGGUAGAGCACUGUUUGGACGAGGGGCCCCUCUCGGGUUACCGAAUUCAGACAAACUCCGAAUGCCAAUUAAUUUAACUUGGGAGUCAGAACAUGGGUGAUAAGGUCCGUGUUCGAAAGGGAAACAGCCCAGACCACCAGCUAAGGUCCCAAAAUAUAUGUUAAGUGGAAAAGGAUGUGGCGUUGCCCAGACAACUAGGAUGUUGGCUUAGAAGCAGCCAUCAUUUAAAGAGUGCGUAAUAGCUCACUAGUCGAGUGACACUGCGCCGAAAAUGUACCGGGGCUAAACAUAUUACCGAAGCUGUGGAUUGUCCUUUGGACAAUGGUAGGAGAGCGUUCUAAGGGCGUUGAAGCAUGAUCGUAAGGACAUGUGGAGCGCUUAGAAGUGAGAAUGCCGGUGUGAGUAGCGAAAGACGGGUGAGAAUCCCGUCCACCGAUUGACUAAGGUUUCCAGAGGAAGGCUCGUCCGCUCUGGGUUAGUCGGGUCCUAAGCUGAGGCCGACAGGCGUAGGCGAUGGAUAACAGGUUGAUAUUCCUGUACCACCUAUAAUCGUUUUAAUCGAUGGGGGGACGCAGUAGGAUAGGCGAAGCGUGCGAUUGGAUUGCACGUCUAAGCAGUAAGGCUGAGUAUUAGGCAAAUCCGGUACUCGUUAAGGCUGAGCUGUGAUGGGGAGAAGACAUUGUGUCUUCGAGUCGUUGAUUUCACACUGCCGAGAAAAGCCUCUAGAUAGAAAAUAGGUGCCCGUACCGCAAACCGACACAGGUAGUCAAGAUGAGAAUUCUAAGGUGAGCGAGCGAACUCUCGUUAAGGAACUCGGCAAAAUGACCCCGUAACUUCGGGAGAAGGGGUGCUCUUUAGGGUUAACGCCCAGAAGAGCCGCAGUGAAUAGGCCCAAGCGACUGUUUAUCAAAAACACAGGUCUCUGCUAAACCGUAAGGUGAUGUAUAGGGGCUGACGCCUGCCCGGUGCUGGAAGGUUAAGAGGAGUGGUUAGCUUCUGCGAAGCUACGAAUCGAAGCCCCAGUAAACGGCGGCCGUAACUAUAACGGUCCUAAGGUAGCGAAAUUCCUUGUCGGGUAAGUUCCGACCCGCACGAAAGGCGUAACGAUUUGGGCACUGUCUCAACGAGAGACUCGGUGAAAUCAUAGUACCUGUGAAGAUGCAGGUUACCCGCGACAGGACGGAAAGACCCCGUGGAGCUUUACUGUAGCCUGAUAUUGAAAUUCGGCACAGCUUGUACAGGAUAGGUAGGAGCCUUUGAAACGUGAGCGCUAGCUUACGUGGAGGCGCUGGUGGGAUACUACCCUAGCUGUGUUGGCUUUCUAACCCGCACCACUUAUCGUGGUGGGAGACAGUGUCAGGCGGGCAGUUUGACUGGGGCGGUCGCCUCCUAAAAGGUAACGGAGGCGCUCAAAGGUUCCCUCAGAAUGGUUGGAAAUCAUUCAUAGAGUGUAAAGGCAUAAGGGAGCUUGACUGCGAGACCUACAAGUCGAGCAGGGUCGAAAGACGGACUUAGUGAUCCGGUGGUUCCGCAUGGAAGGGCCAUCGCUCAACGGAUAAAAGCUACCCCGGGGAUAACAGGCUUAUCUCCCCCAAGAGUUCACAUCGACGGGGAGGUUUGGCACCUCGAUGUCGGCUCAUCGCAUCCUGGGGCUGUAGUCGGUCCCAAGGGUUGGGCUGUUCGCCCAUUAAAGCGGUACGCGAGCUGGGUUCAGAACGUCGUGAGACAGUUCGGUCCCUAUCCGUCGUGGGCGUAGGAAAUUUGAGAGGAGCUGUCCUUAGUACGAGAGGACCGGGAUGGACAUACCUCUGGUGUACCAGUUGUCGUGCCAACGGCAUAGCUGGGUAGCUAUGUGUGGACGGGAUAAGUGCUGAAAGCAUCUAAGCAUGAAGCCCCCCUCAAGAUGAGAUUUCCCAACUUCGGUUAUAAGAUCCCUCAAAGAUGAUGAGGUUAAUAGGUUCGAGGUGGAAG